CUUUAAUAUCCGCUAGUAAUCCAUGGCAUUCAAUGUCUGCCCGUAAUUUAAGAUUUCUACCUCUAAAAUCCGCCAGUAAUUCAAUUUAUAUAAUUAAAAAGAAACAAAAUAAGAAAAUUAAAACAAGAAGAAACACGCAUUUGGCUUUCUACCAGAAAAAUACACAUCUGGGUUUCCCUUCAUCGCAUUUGGCUUCAUCUCUUCAUAUUGUUUGCUUUCCAGUCGUUCAAACAUCAAAAUCUCAACCGUUUUCCCUUCAUCUCAAUCGGUCCUCUCUUGUUUGUUGUUCAACCGUGCUUUAUCUCAAUCGUUUUCCUUUCAAGGGUUUGCUUAUGUGUUCAUCUCAUUAAUAGGCAGCUGUCUAUUACUCGACGAAGAAGAUGAAGGGCUCGUUUUGAAGGAGUAAAAGGUGAAGAAUGAAGGUUUAGAGCUUGGUGAACCCACACACUUCAUCAAAACCUUGACGGAUCAAUACUAAUUGAGGUAUAAACCACUAAUGCCAAUGUUAGUUUAUUUUUUGCAACUUUCAUUUGUUGGAAUUUUCUGCUCACGCCUUAGAAUGAUAAGAAGCAAGCCUACAGAUUGGGGAAAACAAGUUAAAAAGAAAAGCUUUCUACAUUGUUUCUAGUGAAAGCAAGUUAUAAAAGAAAAGCUUAAUACAUUGCAAUUUGGAACCAAAUAUUUGUUUAGAGAUAUGCUUUGAGUCAAGUACCACUCCUUGUUGUCACAGCAGACGUCGACGAUCAGAUAUACAUUGCCGCAACCAACAAACGCCCUUGCCUCCAGCUCCCAUAUGUGUGUCUUGAUCAUGAUGAGUAUCAUAGAUAUCAUAUCCUUGUAGGUGAUCUCCAGACAUCUUCAUCGGCAAGACCUAUUUUCAAUCGUGUUGAUUUCAACAUACCAGAGGAGGAAUGUUUUAUGAGAAACUUUAAUACUUUUAUGGAUCAUGUUUCGUAAGAAAAUCCCCAAAAUAUAGGGAGAGGAAGAAACAUGAUUGGGAUAUCAUCAUAAGGGAGAUGAGGAUCAAAUUUUCCUAAAUAUUUUGAUAAUUAGUUUAUUCUUGUUAGUUUUUUAUUGUAUGAAUAUUAUUGAAAUAUUUAUGAUUUUGUACAAAAACUAUUUAUGAUAAUUAGUUAUAGUUUAAUUAA